GAUGAAGAACGCAGCGAAAUGCGAUAAGUAAUGCGAAUUGCAGAAUCCGUGAGUCAUCGAAUCUUUGAACGCAUAUUGCGCCCUUUGGCAUUCCGAAGGGCAUGCCUGUUCGAGCGUCAUUAUCACCCCUCAAGCCCCGGCUUGGUGUUGGGCUUAGUUACGGAUCACCUAUAACUGGCCUCAAAGAUAGUGACGGCGCCCCAGGGGGAACCGGUACGAGGAGCUUCCAGUUAAGCAUGUACGCGGGACGACUCUGCGGGCGACGGUCUUUUCAUUUCUCCACGUGUUGACCUCGGAUCAGGUAGGAAUACCCGCUGAACUUAAGCAUAUCAAUAAGCGGAGGA
rnacentral:misc_RNA from 1 species